AGGGAAUUGGAGUCAGUUGGCUGCUGUGAGAAGAAGGAAGAGACAGUGCAUAGAGGAGAUGCCUAUGAGAAAUAUCAAGAAGGAGCAGACCAUAUUCCUCUUCUCCACUGGGUGGCACUACUACCUAGAGUAAUGCAAGAGAAGCACUACCGAGUGAUGUGCUUGACGACCACAUGAAGUGGCCACAAUGAAGUAAAUGUCGCUCACAGCUUAUUGCUCUGAAUUUAUAGAAUUAAACCAGCUAAGACAACCUACAACACCCACCCUGAGACAACCACCUAAGCUAGUCUGCUGAUGUGCAAAACUACCCCUUCUUAGCCAAAUAGUCGUGUCUGAUAGUUUUGGAAUGAGUAUUGCUGUAAAAAAUAAGACAUUUCAGCUUAAUUUAAUUCAUUCUACUGUGUUUGCCAAUGUUGAAUCAUCUCUACAAAGAAUAAAUCCAGAGAGAUGGAUUAAUAUAGUAGAAACACUGUCAUUAUAUGUGAAACAGAGAAAUACAAGAAGAAAACAUGGAUAUGAAAUAACUCCCAACUUCUAGGUCUGAAACAGCAUUUGAGCUUUAGCAAAUAUCAGUGUUAAAGCAGUGAAGCAGUCCCAAUGAAGUGCACCACCAGCUCACAAGUACACCUUGAUGAAAUGUGCUGAGGGUGUCAGAAAAAGGCAAGAAAGUGGAUGUUACUGUGUGCCGUAAAUGAACAAGCUACCUGGGCUCUACAGAGCAUCCCAUAAAUCCCAUCACCAUGUGCCCUGACCAUUCUGCCUGUUUUCCUUCCAGGAAAACCAAAGUGUAGGGAAGGAGGAAAGAAGCUUAAAAUCCUAGUUAGGUGUCAGUUGGCAUGAAGGAGGUAACUGGUGUGCACACACAAAUGCUGGGGAUUUGUUUGGGAUCAUUGUUUAGACAGCCAUGCAGCAAGAGCAGGAAAUACAUGAGGAAUAGGAAAACUUCUUCACAAGCUCUCUUUUCCCCUCCCUUUUGCAAAAUUAAAACGCAGGAGGUCAGUAGUAAAAAGAUCAAUCCAGUUGUUAUUCAAGAAUCCAUAUAAAUAAAUAUAAACAGAUAGAGGGUUAGAUUACAGGAUAACAGCCUAAAAAGAUUUUCUGAUGUUGUUAAGGAUUUAAUUUUAAUCUGGCUUGACUGUAAGUCUUAGACCAUGAUCCCUGAGUUCUGUUUGUUUGGUUAUCCUCUUUCUCUACUGCUUUUCCCCACUGCUGUUGACCUCUGAAAUAGACUGUCUUUAUGUGCACACACCUAAUGCACAUCAGGCUUUCAUCCUUGAAGGACUUGCACACAAUUAUGACAGGAGAGUGAACCCAGCAUUUUUGGCAGCUCCCUCACUAUGGAGUUCUGUUCUCAUCUUACUAUUUUGUCCCAAGCCUUAUCCCAGGCUUGAGCAUCUUCACAGCUGGGAGGAGGAACACCGAGGAAUCUGUCCUGACUGACCCUUCUAGGAAAACAAAACGAAAACCCAAAACCUUCCUAUAUCAACCUCAACUCCUCCAAAAUAAAAAAUCCAAAGACUUCAUAUCUCCAGUAGUGCCCUCUUCAACAAUGAGAAUAAAACCUUCCCACGCUGUACACAAACGUUAU